UUUCCUUUUUCUCUUUAUUAUUUUUCUAUCCUUUUUUUUCCUUAACCAAAUGCAUCUGUCUAUUUUACUAGCAAACGAUCCCUUUUACAUUCUUCCCAGCAUAACCAGGAUGGUAGCCUAGAUCGUCAAUCCAUUCUAAAUUUCUGGCCUUGCAUACAGCACUCGAAUUAAUGACCUCUUUUGUAGCUGUUGCGGUUCAUUACAAGCAUGUAAUGUCUUCCGUGGUGCAAUUUUACUUUACAUGUCAGCUUAUACAUCUAGUCAUCGAGCCUUAUCUUUGUACUCUUUUGCCCUUGAUUUUUCGAACUUUCUUCAUUAAAAUUAAUCUGGCUUUUUAAAUAGUAUCGCCGCUCUCAUCAUAUUCAUUAAAUUUUUCAUUGAUUCAUUCUUCUAUUUCUAGUGGGUUCAAGACUCAACAAAUGUUUUUGCAACUCCCUCACCUGUCAUUGUUAAGCAUUGAUUAUCUUUUUGGUGUCAGUGAGAAAGAAUAAAGAUAUAGUAACAAAGAUGAGAGGAGGUCCUCCACACUCUUUCUUGUGUUGCUGUAAAUCCCAUUGACUCGUCGAUUUCAGUCAUCUUCAGUACAAACUUAUUUAUUCUUGAGUGGAACAUCAACUAGCCCCAUGGUUAAUGAUUUGUAUUCUUGAGAAACCAUGUGUGCUGGCAAAGGCCAAUGCCUUGUGGAUUUAAGAUAAUGAUCUGCUUUUCAUGAGUUUCGUA